UUCCUUUCCAUUGGCUGAUGGGCUAA
rnacentral:piRNA from 1 species